rnacentral:rRNA from 1 species
AUACGUAGGUGGCGAGCGUUGUCCGGAAUUACUGGGUGUAAAGGGCGUGUAGGCGGGGAGACAAGUCAGAUGUGAAAUACCGAGGCUUAACUUCGGGGCUGCAUCUGAAACUGUUUUUCUUGAGUGUCGGCGAGGAAAGCGGAAUUCCUAGGUUCGCGGUGAAAUGCGUAGAUAUUAGGAGGAACACCAGUGGCGAAGGCGGCUUUCUGGACGACAACUGACGCUGAGGCGCGAAAGCGUGGGGAGCAAACAGGGUUAGAUACCCUGGUAGUCCACACUGUAAACGAUGAAUGCUAGGUGUAAGAGGUAUCGACCCCUUUUGUGCCGGAGUUAACACAAUAAGCAUUCCGCCUGGGGAGUACGGCCGCAAGGUUGAAACUCAAAGGAAUUGGCGGGG